AGUGAACGCUGGCGGUAGGCCUAACACAUGCAAGUCGAACGGCAGCACAGUAAGAGCUUGCUCUUACGGGUGGCGAGUGGCGGACGGGUGAGGAAUACAUCGGAAUCUACUUUUUCGAGGGGGAUAACGUAGGGAAACUUACGCUAAUACCGCAUACGACCUACGGGUGAAAGCAGGGGAUCUUCGGCCCUUGCGCGAUUGUAUGAGCCGAUGUCGGAUUAGCUAGUUGGCGGGGUAAAGGCCCACCAAGGCGACGAUCCGUAGCUGGUCUGAGAGGAUGAUCAGCCACACUGGAACUGAGACACGGUCCAGACUCCUACGGGAGGCAGCAGUGGGGAAUAUUGGACAAUGGGCGCAAGCCUGAUCCAGCCAUACCGCGUGGGUGAAGAAGGCCUUCGGGUUGUAAAGCACUUUUGUUGGGAAAGAAAAGCAGCAGGUUAAUACCCCGCUGUUCUGACGGUACCCAAAGAAUAAGCACCGGCUAACUUCGUG
rnacentral:rRNA from 1 species